UUGAUAUAUCUACAAGCCAAGUAGCACCAAGGAUUACAGAGAGGAAGAGGGAGAUUUGACACAUACAUGCAGGGCAAAGCAAUGUGAAGACAGAGCAGAGAGAGAUUUGGAGAUGCUGACUUUGCAGUUUGGAGUG
rnacentral:lncRNA from 1 species